CCUGCAUCUGUGGAAUACAUGAAUAGACAACGAAUCAUCCCAAAUUAAGGAGGUGGACUUUGAAAGCAAGAUUUAUGAUUUUUUCCCCUUUUCCUCUUUUUGUGAGUGUGUAUGUGUAUGCUUCUGUGUGAGAUUUUGCCUGUAUAGCUUUGCUUCCACCAUAGGUCCUAGGGUUCUAUCCAUCCGUUUUUUUUUUAAUUUUUUUCUUUUUUUCUCUUAAUAAUUAUUUUUUUAUUUUAAUAACUUUAUUAUACUUUAUCUUAUUUUAUUUUACUUUAUCUUCCUUCUUUUUUUCCUUCCUUCCCUCCUUCCUUCCUCCCUCUCUCCCUCCCUCCCUCCUUUCUUUCUUUCCUUCUUUCUUUCUUUCUUUCUACUUCUACCAAUUCUUUCUUUCUACUUUUUCUCCCUUUUCUUCUGAGCCGUGUGGAUGAAAGGCUCUUGGUGCUACAGCCAGGAGUCAGUGCUGUGCCUCUGAGGUGGGAGAGCCAACUUCAGGACACUGGUCCACAAGAGACCUCCCAGCUCCACAUAAUAUCAAAAGGCGAAAAUCUCCCAGAGAUCUCUAUCUCAACACCAGCACCCAGCUUCACUCAACGACCAGAAAGCUACAGUGCUGGACAUUCUAUGCCAAACAAUUAGCAAGACAGGAACACAAACCCACCCAGUAGCAGAGAGGCUGCCUAAAAUCAUAAUAAGUCCACAGUCACCCCAAAACACACCACCAGAUGUGGACCUGCCCACCAGAAACACAAGAUCCAGCCUCAUCCACCAGAACACAGGCACUAGUCCCCUCCACCAGGAAGCCUACACAACCCACUGAACCAACCUUAGCCACUGAGGACAGACACCAAAAACAACGGGAACUACGAACCUGCAGCCUGCAAAAAGGAGACCCCAAACACAGUAAGAUAAGCAAAAUGAGAAGACAGAAAAACACACAGCAGAUGAAGGAGCAAGAUAAAAACCCACCAGACCUAACAAAUGAAGAGGAAAUAGGCAGUCUACCUGAAAAAGAAUUCAGAAUAAUGAUAGUAAAGAUGAUCCAAAAUCUUGGAAAUAGAAUAGACAAAAUGCAAGAAACAUUUAACAAGGACCUAGAAGAACUAAAGAUGAAACAAACAACAAUGAACAACACAAUAAAUGAAAUAAAAAAUACUCUAUUUGGGAUCAGUAGCAGAAUAACUGAGGCAGAAGAAUGGAUAAGUGACCUGGAAGAUAAAAUAGUGGCAAUAACUACUGCAGAGCAGAAUAAAGAAAAAAGAAUGAAAAGAACUGAGGACAGUCUCAGAGACCUCUGGGACAACAUUAAA